GCUUCCUGCCCCAACUUUACCAAAAGAAAAUUCUCUUCUCAGGGCUCGCAAAUCCUCUUCGCCGGUUCAACUCGGCCGACUAGGGCAUCCCCAACCUUCUCUCCUUCUUCUCCUCCACCACCGUCUUCUCCGGUCGCGGCUUCUACAAGCUCUACGUGGGUCCUUUCAAAAAAAAUUUACACCGACAAGCUCAGCUUCGUUACUAAAUUAGGGUUAGGCCCUAAUUUACAGGUCUGGAUAAUUUAUCCCCUGACCCCUAUCUCCCCUCCUAUCUCUUUAGCAUUGGUGGUGCAUAUAUCUCACCAACCCCGUCUACGUGAUCAAAACAAGAUUGCAAGUGCAGGGAUCAACCUUAAGGUGCAACGGUCGGUUAGAUCAAUGUGUAGCAUAAUGGAUGGCUGAAGGUGCACAUAGCAUGAUGCUAAAAGGUAGCAUUCCCAAAAUUACAUGGUAUAUUCUGGCUCCAGCUCUUGCGUUUAUGGCUGUGAAAUUUCUCAGGGACCAUUUCAAAUUUUUAAUGGUGGAUUGAGCAAUGAUAACAUGCAACAAGUUGCCAGCAUGUCAGUAGAAGUCUUUACAAAGGGGAGCGAGAGUAACUUCAACGGAAAUUUUUCCCACCCUGUCCAGCUUGGGGCAUUUCCAAUGUAACCAAAGUAUUAAUUUGGUCGGUGUUUAGUAAUAUUUUCAUGUAAAAUAUGUAUAUAAACGCAAGGAGAUUAAAGGGAGGUUUGUUUUUUAUCA